rnacentral:lncRNA from 1 species
AUGCCACUACCUGGUUCUGUUUCUCUUUCGCUGGCCACCUGGUUAAGCUCCCAUUGGUCAGGUGUCCGGAGUGGGGCUCACCACUGCAGAGGGCUCCAGCCCUACACAGCGGCCUCCCAGGAAGGACUCAGGAAAAGCACCGACCUCACGCAGGAGAAGGAAGCAUCGUACCCGCACCCUUGUGCAUUCCUUCCCAGCUCAUUCUCCUGCUUACGGGAGCCCACAGGUCAGCCAAGGGAAGAGCUGAGCCAACUGGUCCUUCCACACUCAGUCAUUCAACCUCUCUGUGAAUUCCCAAGUUUUCUGGAAGUUCUUGCUGAUCUCAGCGAUCCUCAAUGGCAGGGCAACAAAGUGCAGGAAGACUCUCAAAGCUGCUUUCUGCCUCCCAAGGCAUCAGAAGUCAGCGCUCCUGGGACUACUCCCACUGGGAAGGAUGCAAUGCAGGGUCAGGAUUCCCCGGGUGAGGAUAAAUCCUGCAGCCUCAGAUCUGCAGCCCUGCUACCAGGCAUGGAGAAGCCAAGCACCCAGUCAAGGUGA